rnacentral:rRNA from 1 species
UACCAGCACCCCGAGUGGUCGGGACGAUUAUUGGGCCUAAAGCAUCCGUAGCCGGUCAUGCAAGUCCUCCGUUAAAUCCACCUGCUUAACAGAUGGGCUGCGGAGGAUACUACAAGGCUAGGAGGCGGAAGAGGCAAGCGGUACUCAGUGGGUAGGGGUAAAAUCCUCUGAUCCAUUGAAGACCACCAGUGGCGAAGGCGGCUUGCCAGAACGCACUCGACGGUGAGGGAUGAAAGCUGGGGGAGCAACCGG